UACGGAGGGGGCGAGCGUUAUCCGGAUUUAUUGGGCGUAAAGGGCGCGUAGGUGGCCCUGUAAGUCAACGGUGAAAUCCCUCGGCUCAACCGAGGAAUUGCCCUUGAAACUGCAGGGCUUGAGGCCGGGAGGGGGUAGCGGAAUUCCCAGUGUAGCGGUGAAAUGCGUAGAUACUGGGAGGAACACCGGUGGCGAAGGCGGCUACCUGGACCGGUACUGACGCUGAUGCGCGAAAGCGUGGGUAGCAAACAGG
rnacentral:rRNA from 1 species